UACAGGGGGUGCAAACGUUGCUCGGAAUUAUUGGGCGUAAAGAGCUCGUAGGCGGUUUGUCGCGUCUGCCGUGAAAGUCCGGGGCUCAACUCCGGAUCUGCGGUGGGUACGGGCAGACUAGAGUGAUGUAGGGGAGACUGGAAUUCCUGGUGUAGCGGUGAAAUGCGCAGAUAUCAGGAGGAACACCGGUGGCGAAGGCGGAUCUCUGGGCCUUACCUGACGCUGAGGCGCGAAAGCUAGGGGAGCAAACAGG
rnacentral:rRNA from 1 species